UACGUAGGGUGCGAGCGUUAAUCGGAAUUACUGGGCGUAAAGCGUGCGCAGGCGGUUUUGUAAGCCAGAUGUGAAAGCCCCGGGCUUAACCUGGGAACGGCAUUUGGGACUGCAAGGCUGGAGUGCGGCAGAGGAGACUGGAAUUCCUGGUGUAGCAGUGAAAUGCGUAGAUAUCAGGAGGAAUACCGAUGGCGAAGGCAGGUCUCUGGGCUGACACUGACGCUCAUGCACGAAAGCGUGGGGAGCAAACAGG
rnacentral:misc_RNA from 1 species